UACGUAGGGUGCGAGCGUUAAUCGGAAUUACUGGGCGUAAAGCGUGCGCAGGCGGUUUGCUAAGACCGAUGUGAAAUCCCCGGGCUCAACCUGGGAACUGCAUUGGUGACUGGCAGGCUAGAGUAUGGCAGAGGGGGGUAGAAUUCCACGUGUAGCAGUGAAAUGCGUAGAGAUGUGGAGGAACACCGAUGGCGAAGGCAGCCCCCUGGGUCAAGAUUGACGCUCAUGCACGAAAGCGUGGGGAGCAAACAGG
rnacentral:rRNA from 1 species